CCAGCAGGAGGUCCGCGGGGGCCACGGCGGCGAACGGCCGCCCGAAGGGGUUCACCCAGUAGCAGUCCUCGUGCUCGGGGUCGCGGGCGCUGAG
rnacentral:tRNA from 1 species